GACGAACGCUGGCGGCAUGCCUAAUACAUGCAAGUCGAGCGAACAGAUGAAGUGCUUGCACUUCUGACGUUAGCGGCGAACGGGUGAGUAACACGUAAGGAAUCUACCUAUAAGCGGGGGAUAACAUUCGGAAACGGGUGCUAAUACCGCAUAAUAUCUUCUUCCGCAUGGAAGAAGAUUGAAAGACGGCUCUGCUGUCACUUAUAGAUGACCUUGCGGUGCAUUAGUUAGUUGGUGGGGUAAUGGCCUACCAAGACGAUGAUGCAUAGCCGACCUGAGAGGGUGAUCGGCAACAUUGGGACUGAGAACCGGCCCAAACUCCAACGGGAGGCAGCAGUAGGGAAUCUUCCGCAAUGGGCGAAAGCCUGACGGAGCAAUGCCGCGUGAGUGAAGAAGGCCUUCGGGUCGUAAAACUCUGUUAUAAGAGAAGAACAAAUUGUAGAGUAACUGCUACAGUCUUGAAGGUAUCUUAUCAGAAAGCCACGGCUAACUACGUGCCAGCCGCCGCCGUAA
rnacentral:rRNA from 1 species